rnacentral:tRNA from 1 species
GUAAAUAUAGUUUAAAAAAAACAUUAGACUGUGAAUCUAAUAACAGGACUUAAAACUCCUUAUUUACC